AUUGAACGCUGGCGGCAGGCCUAACACAUGCAAGUCGAGCGGCAGCGGAAAGUAGCUUGCUACUUUGCCGGCGAGCGGCGGACGGGUGAGUAAUGUCUGGGAAACUGCCUGAUGGAGGGGGAUAACUACUGGAAACGGUAGCUAAUACCGCAUGACCUCGAAAGAGCAAAGUGGGGGAUCUUCGGACCUCACGCCAUCGGAUGUGCCCAGAUGGGAUUAGCUAGUAGGUGAGGUAAUGGCUCACCUAGGCGACGAUCCCUAGCUGGUCUGAGAGGAUGACCAGCCACACUGGAACUGAGACACGGUCCAGACUCCUACGGGAGGCAGCAGUGGGGAAUAUUGCACAAUGGGCGCAAGCCUGAUGCAGCCAUGCCGCGUGUGUGAAGAAGGCCUUAGGGUUGUAAAGCACUUUCAGCGAGGAGGAAGGCAUCAUACUUAAUACGUGUGGUGAUUGACGUUACUCGCAGAAGAAGCACCGGCUAACUCCGUGCCAGCAGCCGCGGUAAUACGGAGGGUGCAAGCGUUAAUCGGAAUUACUGGGCGUAAAGCGCACGCAGGCGGUUUGUUAAGUCAGAUGUGAAAUCCCCGCGCUUAACGUGGGAACUGCAUUUGAAACUGGCAAGCUAGAGUCUUGUAGAGGGGGGUAGAAUUCCAGGUGUAGCGGUGAAAUGCGUAGAGAUCUGGAGGAAUACCGGUGGCGAAGGCGGGCCCCCUGGACAAAGACUGACGCUCAGGUGCGAAAGCGUGGGGAGCAAACAGGAAUAGAUACCCUUGUAGUCCAAGGGCGAAUUCUACAGUGGAAUAUCAAGCUUAUCGAAACCCGCGGCCUUUUUUUAUGUAGAUAAAAAACCGCUUUUGUUCCCUUUAGGGAGUGGUAAUUACCGGUUUUUUUUGUUGAAGUAGCUGUU
rnacentral:rRNA from 1 species